UACAGAGGUCUCAAGCGUUGUUCGGAUUCAUUGGGCGUAAAGGGUGCGUAGGUGGCGCUGUAAGUCGGGUGUGAAAUUUCGGAGCUUAACUCCGAAACUGCAUUCGAUACUGCGGUGCUUGAGGACUGGAGAGGAGACUGGAAUUCAUGGUGUAGCAGUGAAAUGCGUAGAGAUCAUGCGGAAGACCAGUGGCGAAGGCGGGUCUCUGGACAGUUCCUGACACUGAGGCACGAAGGCCAGGGGAGCAAACGGG
rnacentral:rRNA from 1 species